GCGAGAUGUUAGACCGAACACCGAAGAAAAUAAAUUAUAUAUUUAAAUAUAACUGAGAUUACUUUGAUCUUCUCAUCAUUAUCUUAUAGAAUUUUGUUUUGAAGACUACGUGAAAUGGAAAGAAACUAGGCAAACAAUACAGAUAGCAAGGGGCAUUAAAUAUGAAAUGGACACAUGCAUGGAAAUAUUUCAAAACAGGAUGUUGAAUUGGGCCAACUAUUGGAAGUCCUGAAUGCUGCAUACGUUUUAUUCUAACAAAAGAGGUCUGAGUGCCAUCUUAUGCAGGAGAAGUGUACACUAUCAACGAUAGUUCAGCUUGCAAGAGGAAACUUUUGACUCAAAUCUUCAAAUUUUUUCAAAAGAAAUUACUGCCACUCUUUCUACGACCAACAUGAUGACCAGUACAAGCAGCACUUUGAGAUUAGGACUCUACGAAGUUAAAAAACGACUUCAGCCCAAGUACCAAUAAUCACAUUGGUAUUAGGGUUUAUAGUUAAAAUUAUUAGUUGGAAGUUGAGAAGUGAUCUUCAAUUCAACAGCAGCUGCCGAAUGGUCCUUGGAUUACGAAGUUAUUCUUCGUUCAAGAUUAAAAAUUCCGCGAGGCUCAUUUAAAGAAUAAUGUCAAUAUUGUCAAGCCUUUCAUUCGUGACGCCAUUCGUGAAAUUGUUGGAGCAUGACUGACUGUAUUCUAGCUAGGUAAUAUUAUUUGUGCAAAUUUUUAAGCUAAUAAAACUAUCUUUAUCUUUUGUGAUAAUGAAUAAGCCAGUUAAGUAUUAAUUACGUUAUCUUCAAAUAACUUAUUAGGUCAACAUUUUGGCAUUAGAUUCCCCCCCUCCCUCAGCAUGCAUGAAGCACAUUUGAAACAUUUGAAAUUAACACUUACUCUUAGUUACAUGAGUUGACUUGCAGAAAUGUGAGAUGAUGUUGUCAAGCCAGCGUCAUCACAAGGAUUAAAGGGGAGGAGAGACAAAAUAACUGUAUCAAGGCUAUUCGC